rnacentral:lncRNA from 1 species
UUUCUAUUUCAUUUACAAAGGACUUGAUUAUGGUAACCUGAACUAUACUCUGGUUAAGUUUCAUUUAAAAAUAACUUAAUUAGGGUUAAGUUUUUGUUUCACCUACAAAGAACUUGAAAAAGAUCAAGGUCUUGUUAAAAUGCUCAUUUUCACUUAACUACCGAAACAUAGGGCUCGAUAAAAAUAGAGUUGGAUAAGAGAUUUAGUAAAUAACAGCUUUCUAUUCAAUCUCAUCUUCGACGUUGUAGAAGUUCAAAUGAAAUUGCAAAAUAAUCCUAACAAAAAAAAUUAGAAAAAACCCUAACAAAAAACAAUGACAUAAAACCCAACUAAAAAGAAAGAGAAAGAUGAGAUUCGAUCUCAUCUUCGCCAUUAUAGAAGUUUACAUGAAACUCCUAACAAAAAACAACGACAAAAAACCUCAACAAAAAGCUUCAUCCAAAAACAACGAGAAAAAACGCUAACUAGAAACAAAGAGAGAGAUGGAGAUCUGACCUCAUCUUCUAUAUUGUAGAAGUUCAAAUGAAGCUGCAACCAAACAAAAAACAACUCCUAAAAUUUGAAAUGUAAAGGGCUCUAAUGUUUGUUCAGGGGUUUGGACUUCACUGGAAAAAGAGAUGGAACAUGAACUUAGAGAGAAGGAAGAACCUAGAGAGAAGGAGAAAGCUAGGUAUCAAAAAUAGAAGGAACAUUUUUGGAGGAAGUAAAGAAGAGUAAAAAUGUCCAAAAUUGGUCAUUUCUCUAAAGAAUGAAUAAGGGAAGUCAUUAUUUCGAUUUUAAAAGUAUUUUAGUCGACUUCAAUCGAGGUCUGGGGCAUGAUCAGCAGAUUUUACCAGCAGUCCAGGUAACAUUUUCUAACUCAAAACAAUUGAAUCAAAAACCAAUUUCAUUUAAACAAUCUAGCAUAAAGGGAAUGUCAUAUUCACAAUCUCUGUUCCAAUUUAAAUUCACUAGGAAAACCAAAGCUUGAACACUUCCAAAAAGGAAAAUGUUUCUCACUAACCUUGGAUGUUCUUCAGUCACUCUGGAACACAUGUUUCUUUAUUUAAUGGUGCAGCAUGAGAAUGAAAACUACCAGAACCAGGAAGUACCUCUCACACAAACUGGUUGAGGUACUCAUCCACAGUUGUGUAUUUGACAUCAGGAUAUAGCUCUGAAGCCUCCACUCCAAAUGAUGGCUUGAUCUCAAAGUUGGUGUGGUCUCCCUUAACGAAAACAGAGUGACAGAAUGCUAACAUCACAUUGAGUGGAACAGAGGCUUCUGCAAGAAACAGAGGAAAACCAUCAAUCUGAAGACAUUUACCAUCAUUAAAACAUCAACUAUAUGAACAGAGUUUAGGGCCAAAAAAUGGCCUCUGUGGUAAAAAAAUUAUCCUAUGUAGGAACCUUCCCUAACUUACCAUCAAACUAGAACUCUUGAUGCCACCUAGGCACAAUUUUUUAUUUUUUCCCUUUUUUAGUCAUAGGUUGAAACUGCAUUUUGAAAAUGCGGUUUCUGAUUUUAUGUGAAGCCACAUUUUGAACAAUGGCUUGAAACAUGAUCCAAACUCAAUAUCAUUUGACCAAAACAGGCCUUUUUUACCCAAAGUUCAUAUAAACACGUGAUACUUCCAAGUUCAACCAACUCCUCUUUCUUUCUUCUUUUUAUUCCCUUCUUUUUUCAAAUCCAAUGAGCAAUAGUGAAUUGUUAGUCUGUCAUAUGAAUCUCUUAGGAAGACCUUAAUCACGGUCUGGGGCAUGAUCACCAGAUUUUACCAGUAGGCCAGCUAACAUUUUCUAAGAAAAAAGAAUUGAAUCAAGAACCAAUUACAUUUUAACAAUGCAGCAUAAUGGGAAUGCUCUAUUCCCAAUCUCUGUUCCAAUUUAAAUUACUAGGAAAACCAAAGUUUGAACAGUUUCAAAAAAUGAAAAUGUUUCUCACUAACCUUGGAUGUUCUUCAGAACUUGCUCCUCUGGAACAUAUAUCUUCUCAAGGGUUUUUCCAAUCUUCUUUUCCCAUAAGGAGACAAUUUCGUUGAAUGAGUAGGUGUUCUGAGGAGGCCUGAUGUAAAGGAUUUUGUUCAAGGUUCUAGGAUCAUCCGCAGCUUUAAUGGUAUAGGUGCCAAUGUCAUCCUCCUUGUUAAAAACAGCUGGAGAUGCAAAAAUGAAAUGAGUAAAAUAGAGUAGAAUCAUCUUCCUAUUCCUUCAAGCUUGGACUACUCCGUAAUUCCACUUUUUUUGUUUACAGAACACAAACUUGAAAUUAUUUUGAUAUGAAACCAAGUUAUUGUUUUCAUUUAAUGCUCAUGUCAAAAACUCUCAGCUGGAGAGCAACCCAAGAGGACUGUCAAUAUAAAAAAAGAGGCUUUAGCCCAUCCAGUUCAGAUAAUAAUGAUUAAUUACUAGAAGUGCACAAUGGUUCCUCAGUUUGACCACUCCAGGUCACAUGGAUCAUGCUAGUUUCCUGUAUUAUGGCUCAAUUGCAAUGUAGCACCCAAGCAGUCAACCUCAACUGUCGGAAGGUUUUGUUUCUGGGUGAACGGGUUUAACCAGCUGGGGAAAGGGGGAGUGGGGUGGGGUUGUCCAGGUUUCAAAUAGCCACAUUCUGAUUUUCAGGAAUAUAGACCAUUCUCACCUCAACAACGCUGGCAACCCCAUCAAUUUUUUUGCCUGGAGAAGGAUAAUAUGCAGCUAUUGGUUGGUGAAAUGGUAAAUUACACUCUCAAAAGGAUUCCAUGCUCAUCUACAUAACCCGCUGAUUAGUAUUACUUUUUAAGCCCACUAUCAUCAGAUGUCACUGAUACAUGGACCGGUGCAUUCUAACAUCAAAACGAGAAAAUGCAAUGGGAAAUUAAGUUGUAUGAUUUUCAGAGGUUGCUUACCUUUUGGAUUCCCAUCUCCUAAAAUAAUAACUUUAUCCCUGGGGGGAGCGGUGGCUCCAGGCUGUGAAAAUGUAGGAAGGAAAAAGCCAGCAAAUGUGUUGGAGGACACAUAGGUGUAGGGAAUUCCUUCAGCCUCAAUAGUGCGGCGGAUUUGAGCCUUUAUCUCAAAGGCUGUUUUUGCUGGCUCAACCGCAUGUACACGGUCCACAUCAUUUCCAAACUCUGAUGGGAAGAAUCUCUGGAUGAAAUAAAGCACUUUAAGAAGAAGCUGUAUAACUCAAUAGAUUGAAAAACGGGUCAUAUCUAUUUAGUCAUAUUAGCUCACGACAGGGAUCCUAUAUGGGAUACACUUUGACGAACUUGAUACAAGUGUUCAGCAACCAUAAAGACAUACAAUUAGCAAUUCAAACGAUGGAAGGAAAGAGUGCACUGAUCAGGAUUCUUAAAAAGUGAAAGAAAAAACCAUGUAAGAAAUGUGAAAAAAAAAACUACCAAACUUCAUUCAUAGAAGGAAAAUGCGCACUAAUCAGGAUGCUUAGAAGAUGGAAGAAUAAAAACUAAAUGAAAACAGGAGAAAAAAAAAAAAAAAAACUUCAUUCUUGUUUAGUUGUCUUGCUGCUUUUUGAAGCCUUUUGUAUACCAUUUGUCUACAUUGGGUGUGCUGUCUUUUUUUGUUAGGCGCUUCUCUGUUAAUAUAGUUUGUUUUUAGCCUAUCAAAAAAAGGGGGGGGGGGGGGUGGUGGUUGUGGGUGUAUACAAUGGAUUGGAAGUGGUAUAGCAUGCCCCAUGAAAGGGAAUUAGUAUUUAAAAUUUUUUCCUUUUUACAUCAAAAAUUAAGAUUGACUUUAAAGCAUCGAUCCAACCUGAGUCAAUGCACAUGGAUCUAGACAAGAAUCAAGAUUGUUGAUCCUCAAUGAAUAUUGUAUAUAUGGAAUGUUCUUUCAUGCACUUCCAACAUUUCUAAAGAAGGUAUUAUUACAUUAUGCACAAAGGAUAAAGAUAUCACCAACAAAUUAUAACAAAUUCCAAUAAUAAAUAUCAUAGUACUCGGAUUUGCAAAGAAAAGAGGGAAUUAGAAAGAAGAAAAGGAGAAAAGGAGAGAAAUUUCGUCAAUUUGGACAACUUUACCUUGACAUUUCCAGCUUCUUUGAUGGCAGCAAUGAUCUUGACUUGAUCCGACAACUGUGCGCGACCAACGGUCGAGAUGACCACAUCCACUAGAUUAAUCGCCUUCACCAAACUCUCGUGAUCGUAUAGAUCACCCUGCAACAUAACAUAACCAAUCAAUAAACUAUUUCAUAACCCUAAUUCCCCAGUUAAGAAGUAAGAAUCCAAAAGCAGGUGUGUUUUUUCACUUUACUGAAACCAAAAUAACUUAAAACAUAAACAUCCGAACUUUUCUUUUCCUGAGGAUCGCCACUUUUUUCUUUCUGGAUGAAUGAAGAAUUCCAGUUUUCGUUUUUUUAGGAACUUAAACAUCCAAAAAUUCAAGAACUCCAAUUAAUUUCAUUCAUUUUCUCGGCGGCCAAAAGAAGCAAAAAUUAGAAAACCAAGAAUAGCGAGAAAUGAGAGCGAAUAUUACGUACAUACACCAAAGUCACGCCGGAGCUCUUGAAAAUCUCAAUGAUUUCCGACUUGGAAGGAUUCGAAACGGCGGAUUCUCUGACGAGAGCGAAGGUAGGGUGACCGGACUUAGCGCUGGCAGCGACGAUGAAUUUUCCGAUGUAGCCAGUGCCGCCGAUUAUGAGAAUCUUGCUCUUUUCGGACAUUGUGAGCUUUUCCGGCGAAUCUCCCGCGAGAAAUGUGGAAUUGAGAGGACUAAGCGAAAGGUGACUGGAGAGUUGGUGGGCACCAACGGCCAAAGACAAUGCUCUUGUAGGACAGAGCUCGAGGAUAUUAGGAUUAUGUAAUUACGGAACUAGCCUUGUGUUUUGGUGGUAAUCUCCGUUUUGGUUAUAUUUUGAAUGUGGCUUGAUUUUUAUGUGAUUCAUGAAUGUGUCAAAGUUCGCUUGUUUGAAAAUUGGUUUAGAUUGGAAAGUGAAAAAGUGUAUAUCACAUGAGAGAUUUAUAAAUAGAAAAAAAUGUAUUUUCACACACUAAUGUAAAAAUAAUUACAAAAUAAAAACUCUUUAAAUAAUUAUAAAAUAAAAACCCUUUAAAAAUAAUUUAAAUUUUAUGCACUCAUCGAGUACAUGAAAUGAUAAUUUAAUAUAGUUAUGUGUAACGACCCGCUCUCCCAAUAAUGACUCCCCUAGCUUUAAAAAAACGUCUUUAGGAUUAAGAUUGAUACUAUUUAUAAUAACUCGUAAAACCUAAAAAGGUCAUCACGACUUUAAAAUGCGUUUGCAAGAUUAAAAAAAAAUAAAAAAAAUUAUACUUAGAUAGUGUUAGGAACUUUCUCCCCUAUCUGAUGUGUGAUGUUACAAAUAUCCCCCAUGCAGACACAACAUCCUUGUUGUAUCUCAUGGAAUUGUGGAAUUAGAAUGAUAAUUUAAUGUAAUUAUGUGUAACGAUCCACCCUAUUUGAUGUGGGAUGUCACAAAUAUCCUCAUGCAGACACAACGUCUUUGUUGUAUCUCAUGGAAUUGUGGAGUUAAAAUGAUAAUUUAAUGUAGUUAUGUGUAAUGACUCGUUGUCCCAAUCAUGUAGAUAUUAUUCGUUUUGGACCCAAAAAAUGACUUUCCUGACUUUAAAAAAACGUCUAUGUGAUUAAGAUUGAUAUCGUUUAUAAUAACUCGCAGAACCUAAAAAGGUCCCCACGACUUUAAAAUGUGUUUACAAGAUUUUUAAAAAAAAUUAUACUUAUAUAGUGUUAGGAACUUUCUCUCCAUAUGAUGUGAGAUGUCACAAACAUCCCUAUGCAGACACAACGUCCUUAUUAUAUCUCAUGGAAUUAUGGAGUCAAAUAGACAAACACUCCCUAUGAGGCAAACAAACUCCCACACCGAAAUCAGAGAUCAAUUCCGAUAUUAUUUGUAACGAUCUACUCUCAAUUAUAUAAAUAUUGUCCAUUUUAAUCCGAAAGGGCAUUACAGUUUUAAAACGUGUGUACAGGAUUAAGAAAAGCCUUUACAUAUACAGUGUCAUGAUUUUUUUUUUCCUAUCGGAUGUGAGAUGUCAUAUUAUGAAUCCGUCAUUCUGUCUUUAUUCAUUUGUUGCAUUUAAGAUAUUUGAAAAAUUGAGCGAUUUUAUAAAAUGAGUUUUGAAAAGGCAUGAGAGAAGGAAAAAGAUACUAGUUUAAUUAAGGCUUACAACCCGGUCUUCUUAAAGGGUGGUUAAAUUCCCUGCCUAUUAAAUUUCUUAUCAGGUCGUUAGUCAAUGGAUCUAUUAAAUUCUAGUAUGACUUUGUAGAGUAGUAAUUACUCCAUGGGUGAGUAAUUAUUAAUAUGUAGCUGGGAUCAUUAGUAUAUUUUACUACAUUUCCAAUAGAAAAUGCUACCUCAAAUAAGUUACAUGUCUCCGCGAGACACUCAAGAAUUUCAGCAUAUUCCAAGACUUGACUUCCAAGUUAGCCAAAAGACAUGGAUAUGAGAUUUCAAUUGAAAUGAUUAAACCUUUUUAGAAUGUUUUCACUAUAAUUUCAUCGGCACAAAAAAAUAAUUAUAAAACACUAAAAUCUCUUUUAAAAACAUGUCUUUUAUUUUUAAAUUUAAACACUUACUCAUCAUUUUUAUUAGGAAUGAUAAUGAGACAAGUUUUUUUAGAUAUUUGUCUGCCUUGUUCUUAAUGAAAUGGGUUUAAAAUUUAAAUAAACGAAAUUAGAAUGAAUUUGGGAUUUUUUUAAAAACUUGGUACUAGCUAUUGUCUUUUCUCAUCCUAUCUAAAUUAUAUAUAAAAUUAAUUUAGUUUUAUUUUUAUUUCCCUAUUUGAUAUAUAUAUAUAAUUAUUUAUAAAAUACAUUUAUUUUAAUGUAAUUAAAUUUAAAAAAAUCAAAAUAAAUAAAUAAAUAAGACGAGAUGGGCAUGAAAAAUUCACAUACCUACCUUAUUUAAUUUUUUAAAUAAGAUAGAAAUGAGAAUUAUUUUGAAUAAACAAGAUAAGGUUGAAAUGAGAUCAACUCGUCUUAAACUAGUCUCGUUGCUAUCUCUAUUUUUUAUACUUUUUUAGUUGAAAGGGAUAAAUGAAUUAAAGUUAAGGAUUAAGAUUAAAUAUUCUACUUUACAAAAAAAAAAAUGAGACUAUUAAAUAUUAUUAGAAUUUUAUCAACUAGUCAUAAGAGUUUAAAAAAGAAAAUAUUGAUGAACAAUUCGUAGGAGGAAAUGAAUUGAGAAUAAAUUGACCUAGUGAACCUUCAGUUGCAUUGCCUCCUACUAUGUUCCACUUAUUCAGAAACGAAAGAGAAAGGAUGAGGGAUCUAUAACUAUAAGUUAAAAGGACAAAGGAUCAGGACAAAUAGAGGAUAUAUAUUAUGAGAUAUUAUUUCUAAUAGAAUAUGAUAUUUUAAAAUAUUGCAUUUAAUAUCAUUUAGAAAUUCUUCUCUUAUUUUUAUUUUAAUAAAUAAUUUUUAGUAUUUUAGUAAUAAUGUUUAUGAUUAUAAAUAAUAUAUAUAUAUAUAAAAUUAUAUUAUAUACUAAUAUGCUAAAUAUUUAAAAGCAUUACUAGUAAUUAAAUGAUACUAUAUAUUAAUAUGAUCAUUAUAAAUUUUAUUAUACAUAUAUUUUUUAAUUCUUUUAUUAAGAAGAAUAAAUUUAUAAUGUCAGUUAUACCUUAGGAUUGUUGUAUUUAACAUAUAGAGAUACAAAAGCGAGGAAAAAUGCAAAAGAAACUAUGAUUGAGUUAUUCUAUCAUUUACCGACCAAACAUGAUACAAAAUAUAUUAUCUCAUCUUUUAUCUUAUAUUAUAUUAUAUUCAACAAACUAAACAUAACAUAAUAGACCGACAUUCUAUCAAAUUUCUCGUAUUGUGAUUUUAAAACUUGAAUAGUUCAUGAACUAAACAUUAUUGCCUUUUCUUGUCUCAAUGGAAUAAGCGUUUUAAUUGUUCUAUAUGCAUUUCUUCAUCAAGCUCCCUCUUUUGAGCUAGAAAUAUUAUAUUAGGAGCUAGGUACUCCUUUUUGUAUAGCUCCAUCUCUAAUAAGGUACCAAAGAAGAUAAACUACAAAGGCAAAGAAAAUCUAAUUCCAGAAACUUCUACUUGCAUAAGAUUAGAAAGGCACAUUGUCCUAUUACAGAAUAUGCCCAAUGGCAUAGACAAGGAAAUAACCCACUAUUUUCCACACAACAUAUAUUAAGACAGCUGCACAUGUUUGCUUGUUUAGAUAGUGCAGCAUGACAGUGAAAACUACCAGGACCGAAGUCUACCUCUCAAACAAGCUGGUUGAGCAACUCAUCCACAGUUGUGUAUUUGACAUCGGGAUAUAGCUCUGAAGCCUCCACCCCAAAUGAUGGCUCGAUCUCAAAGUUGGUUUGGUCUCCCUUAAUGAAAACAGAGUGAUCGAUUGAUAAUAUUGCAUUGAGUGGAGCAGAGGCUUCUGCAAGAAACAGAGGAAAACCCAUCAAUAUGAAGAUUUUAGCCAUCAGAUCAACUAUAUAAACAGAUUUUGGGGCGAAAAUAGCCUCUAUAACUGAAAAAUUAUCAUAUGUGGAUACCUUCUUUAACUUAUUAUCAAGCUAGGCCUCUUCAUGUCACCUUGGAGUCAUUUAAUUUAAUUUUUUCCUUUUUAAAUGUAAGUUGAAAAUGCAUUUUGAAAAGAGUGUUUGGACACACGAGUCAAAAUAAUUAUCAAAUUGUAAAAAUAACCCUUUUUUCAAUUUUGUUGAGAGAUCCCAGCAGUCAAAAUAAUCAUAUAAUCAAACCCAGUCUUUUUCUUCCCAACCUUUUUUUUUUUGGCCUUAUCUUAAACUUGCUCUAUUUCUUUUUCAUUUAAGACACUCCAGAAAAACUCAAUCUCAUUUCAUAAUGUCCCACUGAAUUUUCUUAUCUCUCAAACAACUUCUCAUUCUCAUUCGUGAUGUUCACCUAAAGUGUUCUAUGAUUAAAUUUUAUUUAUUACGAAUUUAACUAAGGUGAAAUUUUCAUUAAGAUUGGUUAGCUGAAUUGCACUAGUGUUAUGUUUGGUUGUAAAAAACUUAGUUAGAGUUAAAUUUUCAAUCAUAAUAGUAAUAUGAACUCCACUAUGGUUAAGUUUUAUUUACAAAAAACUUAAGUGGGGUUAGAUUUCUAUUUCAUCUACAAAGAACCUGAUUAUGGUAACUUGAACAAUCCUCUGGUUAAGUUUCAUUUAGAAAGAACUUGAUCAGGGUUAAGUUUCCAUUUCACCUAUAAAGAACUUAAGUAAGAUCAAGGUCUUAAUUAAAAUGUUCAUUUGCAUUGAACUACCAAAACAUCGGACUUAGUAAAAACAAAGUUAGAUGAGAGAUCUAGUAAAUGAUAAGUUUCUAUCUGAUCUCGUCGUCAACAUUGUAGAAGUUCAAAUGAAAUUGCAAAAUAACCCUAAUAAAAAAAAAAUUAGAAAAAACCUCUAACCAAAAACAAUGACAAAAAACAAAACUAAAAACAAAGAGAAAGACGAGAUUCGAUCUCAUUUUCGUCACUAUAGAAACUUACAUGAAACUACAAAAAACCUUAGCAAAAAACAACGACGAAAAACAAAGAGAGAUGGAGAUCUGACCUCAUCUUCUAUAUUGUAGAAGUUCAAAUGAAGUUGCAAAACCCCUAACAAAAAACAACUCCUAAAAUUUGAAAUAGAUAAGGCUCUAAUCUUUGUUCAAGGGUUUGAACUUCACCAGAAAAAGAGAUAGAACAUGAACUUAGAGAGAAGGAGAAGGCUAGGUAUAAAAAAAUGGAAGGGGCAUUUUUGGAGGAAAGAAAGAAGAGUAAAAAUGUCCAAAAUUGGUCAUUUCUCAAAGGGAAGUCAUUAUUUCGAUUUUAAAAGCAUUUUAGUCGACUUCAAUCGAGGUCCGGGGCAUGAUCACCAGAUUUUACCAGCAGGUCAGCUAACAUUUUCUAAGUUAAAAACAAUUUAACCAAGAACCAAUUUCAUUUUAACAAUCUAGCAUAAAGAGAAUGUUCUAUUCACAAUCUCUGUUCCAAUUUAAAUUCACUAGGAAAACCAAAACUUGAACACUUCCAAAAAGGAAAAUGUUUCUCACUAACCUUGGAUGUUCUUCAGAACUUGCUCCUCUGGAACGUAUAUCUUCUCAAGGGUUUUUCCAAUCUUCUUCUCCCACAAGGAGACAAUUUCGUUGUAUGAGUAGGUGUUCUGAGGAGGCCUGACGUAAAGGUUUUUGUUCAAGGUUCUAGGAUCAUCCACAGCUUUAAUAGUAUAGGUGCCAAUGUCAUCCUCCUUGUUAAAAACAGCUGGAGAUGCAAAAGUGAAAAUGAGUAAGAUAGAAUAGAAUCACCUUCUUAUUCCUUCAAGCUUAGACUACUCUGUAAUUCCACCUUUUUUCUUUUACAAAACACAAACUUAAAAUUAUUUUCAUAUGAAACCAAGUUAUUGUUUUCAUUUAAUGCUUAUUUUUUCAAAAACUCUCAGUUGGAAAGCAAACCCCAGAGAACUGUUGAUAAAAAAAAGAGGCUUUAGCCCAUCCUGUUCAGUUUAAAACCCAAUAAUAAUUAUUAGUUACUGGAAAUGCAUAAUGGUUCCUUCAGUUCAACCCCUCCAGGUCACCUGGAUCAUGCUAGUUUCCUGGAUUAUGGCUCAACUGCAGUGUCACACCCAAGCAGUUGACCCCAGCUGUCCGGUUUUCAAAUAGCCACAUUUUGGUUUUCAGGAAUACAGACCAUUCUCACCUCAACAACACUGGCAACCCCAUCAAAUUUUCUGCUUGGAGAAGAUAAUAUGCAGCUAGUGGUUGAUGAAUGCACAUUCAAAUAACCCAUUGAUUAGUAUUACCUUUUAAGCCCACUAUCAUCAGAUGUCAUUGAUCAUGGGAGCGAGUGCAUUCUAAGGUCAAAAGAAGAAAAUGAAACAGAAUUUCAGUUGUUUUACGAUUUUCAGAGGUUGCUUACCUUUUGGAUUACCAUCUCCUGGAAUAAUAAUUUUAUCCCUGGGGGGACCAGUGGCUCCAGGCUGUGAUAAUCUAGAAACGAAAAAGGCAGCGGUGGCUUCAAGCUGUGAUAAUCUAGGAAGGAAAAAGCCAGCAAAGAAGUUGGAGGACACGUAGGUGUAGGGAAUCCCUUCAGCCUCAAUAGCGCGGCGGAUUUGAGCCUUUAUCCCAAAUGCUGUUUUUGCAGGGCCAACCGCAUGGAUACGGUCCACAUCAUUUCCAAACUCUGAUGGGAAGAAUCUCUGGAGGAAAUAAAGCACUUUGAGAAGAAGUCAUAUGACUUGAUAGAUGAAAAACCACUCAUAUCUAUUUAGUCAUAAUAGCUCACAGACAGGGAUCAUCCAUGGGAUACACUAUGAUGAACUUGAUACAAGUGUUCAGCAAGAAUAAAGUUACACUUAGCAAUUCAAAUGAUGGAAGGAAGAAGUGCACCGAUCAGGAUGCUUAAAAAGUGAGAGAAAAAACUAAAUGGAGAAGGUGAAGAAAAAAGCUACCAAACUUCAUUCAUGAAAGGAAAAAGUGCACCAAUCAGGAUGCUUAAAAAGUGGAAGAAAAAACUAAAAGAAAAAAGGUAAAAAAAAAAAAAAAAAAAACCCACCAAACCUCAUUCUGUCCUGAAUCACUUCAGUUUUAAUUUUUAAUUUUUAAUUAUUUAAUUAGUGCUCAAAACAUUUGACACUAUUAAAUUAGUCAUUUGACAUAAUGUAUAUGAUGUUAUCCAAUACCCUAUGUUUGUUGCAUAAGUAUAGUCUCCUUACACAUGGGUUCAAUAAAUUGAGAAAAUGAAUAAACGGUGAAGUUUGAACAAAUGAUUUCCAACCAAAAAAAGGAUCUUAUGCCAUGUUGGACAACCGAUUUACCUAAAACUUAAGUUGUUAGGAUUUAAGCCCACGGUGUAUAUCAUGUUGCCCAUCAGUAUCUAUAUCCAACGAAAGGUCAAGAACCUCCUUGAAACGAUCCUAUUCUAACUUGCCCCUAGCUGCCAAACCCUCAAGGGCAUUAGCCUAAGGGCACAAAGUCAAUAUAGCUCAAGAACCUUCCUGAGAUGUUCCUAUUCCAGCUGACCCUAGCGGCUAGAUCUUCAAGGGCAUUAGCCUAAGGGUGCAAAGUAAAAACCAAGUUUGAGAACCUCCUUGAAAGGACCCGAUUAUAAUUGGUCCCUGGCAGCUAGGCCUUCAGGGACAGAGCAUAUGAGUGUAAAGCCAUUCCAGGACAAGAACCUCCUUAGAAGGACCCCAUCACAAUAGACCCCUAUUGGAGCCUAAGAACAAAAAAUGAAUAAUCAUAUGAAGAAAUAAUAAAACAAAGCAUAAAAGAUAGAAGAGAAGAUAAAAAUAACAAUAUCCUAUGCCACCUCAUUGUCCCCUCCUUCCUUGGAUGAUGCCUCGCUUUUAUCAUUGUCCUCCUCAUCGAUUUCCCCCAAGGCCUUCAUUCGACCCAUGAGCUUGUCGACUUUCAAAAAAUGCUCUUGCAUUAUUGAACCUUAUGAAUAAAAUUAUCUUUUACCACUGUCCACAAAUGAUUUUUUUUUUAAAAGAAUGGCUUUGUCUUAGAGUUCUAUCCUUUUCUUUCUGUUUCUCAUGGAUAAAAAAAACCCCAACCCAAAUAUUUUUUUAUAACAAGGAUAAUUUUUUAUACCUAAAGAAUUAAAAUCGACUUUCAAACACCUAAGCGUUGAGACUCAACUCAAUCCAACCUCAGUCAAUUAACAUGGAUCCAGCAAGAAAAGAUUGUUCAUCCUCAAUGAAUAUUGUGAAGAUGGAAUGUUCUUCCAUGCCUUUUCAACACUCUCAACAUUUCUAAAGAUGGUAUUACUACAUCAUGCGCAAAGGAUAAAGGAAUUACCGACAAAUUAUUACAAAUUCCAAUAAUAAAAAUCAUAGGAACUUGUAUUUGCAAAGAAGAGAUGGAAAUAGAAAGAAGAAAAGGAGAGGAAGAGAUUUCGUCAAUUUGGACGACUUUACCUUGACAUUUCCAGCUUCUUUGAUGGCGGCAAUGAUCUUGACUUGAUCCGAGAACUGUGCGCGACCAACGGUCGAGAUGACCACAUCCACUUGCUUAAUCGCCUUCACCAAACUCUCGUGAUCGUGUAGAUCUCCCUGCAACAUAACAGAACCAAUCAAAAAACUAUUUCAAAGCUGUAAUUCUUCAAUAAGAAGUAAGAAUUCAAAAAUUGGUGUGUGUUUCCACUUUGCUGGAACCAAAGCAAAUCAAAACAUAAACAUCCAAAAUUUUCUUUUCUUUUCCUGCGAAACACUACUUUUUCUUUCUUUCUGGAUGAGUGAAGAGUCUCAGUUUUCUUUUUCUUAGGAACUUAAACUUCCAACUCCAAUGAACUUCGUUCAUUUUCUCCGCGGCCAAAAGAAACAAAAACUAGAAAAGAAAAAAUGGCGAGAAAUGAGAGCGAACAGUACGUACAUAUACCAAAGUCACGCCGGAACUCUUGAAACUCUCAAUGAUUUCCGACAUGGAAGGAUUCGAAACGGUGGAUUCUCUGACGAGAGCGAAGGUAGGGUGACCGGACCUAGCGCUGGCAGCGACGAUGAAUUUUCCGAUGUAUCCAGUGCCGCCGAUGAUGAGAAUCUUGCUCUUUUCGGACAUUGUGAGUUUUUCCGACCAAUCUCCGGCAAGAAAUGUGGAAUUGGAAAAGGCUAGCAAGCAGUAAGCAAUGACGACUGACGAGUAGUGCAGUACUGCAGUGUUCUUAUAUAACAAAGCUUGAGGCUAUAUAGAUUAUGUAAUUACGAAACUAGCCUUUUCUUUCAGCAGUAAUUCCCGCUUUGGUCAUCAUAUGUAUGUGGCUCGAUCUUUGUAUGAUUCACGUGUCCCGAUUCAUAUUUGUUUGAAAAUCGGCUUAGAUUAGUCCAAUUUACAAGACUACACCAUCUUUAAUUUGACAAGAGCAUAUAAUAUAUAUAUAUAUUGUAGCAAUCAUUAAUAUUUUAUUUUAUUUUUGGCACGUGUAAUUUUAUCUCUAGCUCCCAUAUCUUAUUUUAUUGCACACUUUUGACUCCGUUUGGCCAUAUUGAUAUAUAUCAUAGAUUUGCCUUAGAUUUUGGUUAAUAAAAUUUUAAUCAUUAUUGCACGUUUUUAUUCUCCACCCAUGUUUAAUAGUAUAUUUUAGAGACUUAUCGUGGAUAACCACCCCUUCACCUCUCCUACUGAAUUGUCAUUUGAUAUUGCUUGGGGAUCCCACAGAGUUGUCUAGUUGAUAGGUUGAUAAAAUUUACAUGCACGGUCAUUUUCAUGUCCUUAAAGCAAAUACAAAUUAAAAUGUGAUCGAUUGAUGCUAAGAUUUGAAUUUAUCUAUUUAAUAUAAAAUUGUCAUGGUCAAAUGUUUAUUGCUACUCCACGAUAGAAUGAUGAUUUUUAUUUUUGUGACAGUAACAUUUCAAAUUAUAAAAAACAAUGAAUUAAACAAUAUUUUUAUAUUCUUUACAAAAUCUUGGAUGUUUAAAAUUAGACCCUUUAAAUAGACACGUGACUUAAAUGGAAUACCAUAUUUGGGAAUGCACUACACUUAACUUGGAUUGGAAUAUAAUUCAAAAUGGAUAACAAUUAGGAAUGCACCAUGCUUAUUUGGAAUUAAGGGAGAGAGGGAUGACUGUUGGAAUCAUGAAAUGUUAUGGAACGGACCCCUUUUUAAAGAUGUAGAUGUCCCUUAAAGAAACGCUUCCAUCAAAAGAGUUGCACCUAACUAAUAAGAGAUGGGAAUGACUUCCAAAAAAUGUAUCACUUCAUGUUGGUGGCCUUUUUAUUAAACCUAGAAGCAUGUGGGGUUAGGCUCACACAUAUCUGGUGUGGCUUGUGCACAUGUGAGCCUAUGUUAGGCCCAAGUCCACAUUCAUCUAGUUGGAUAUAUGCAUAUGUGAGUUUAUGUAAAAACCCAUGUUUUCUUUUAAGCUUACAAAAUACUUGUAAAGUACCUUUUCGACUAGUGAUCUUCUAAGAAACGCUUCCAUCAAAAGAGUUGCACCUAUCUAAUAAGAAAUGGAAAAGGCGUCUAAAGAAGAUCUCACUUUAUGUUGUUGGUGACCUUUUUUCAAUGUUUUUAAAAUUGGACCGAUUAUUAAAUAUAAAAAAAUUACUCAUUCACGGUUCAUUAAUCGGACUGACAGUUGAACCAGUAACGUCAUAAAUAUAUAAUUUAUAAAUUAUUAAAAUAAAAAUAAAAAUGUAUGUAUUGUUUAAAAAUUAAAAUUUUAUUUGAAAAUCAGAAAAUUAGUUUUAAAAUUAAAAUUAAAAUUAAAAUCAUGGGGGGGAGGGGGAGGGGAGGGGGUUCGUUCUGCCAGUGAGAGAGCGACGUCCGACCAAUCAGCAAUUGACGAUAGUGGGAAGAAGCAGCUAGGGUAGUAGGGUAAGAGGGGUUAUUGGAAAAAAUAAUAAUAAUAAAAGAAAGGUUGAACGGUUCAAUGGUCAAAUCGUCGGUUCAAUCGGUCUAAUUCUGGUUUGACUACUUUUCGACCUAAUUCAUCAAACCAAACCGAAAUUGUGACUUGCUGGUUCGAUCCAAUUUUUAAAACCGUGUAUUUUUAUUAAACCUAAAAGGUGGGUGUAGGAUCACACCUAUCCAAUGUGGCUUGUGCACACGUGAGCCUAUGUUACGCCCAUGUACACAUUCAUCCAAUUAGGUCCAUGCAUAUGUGAGUUGAGGUUAAAAACCAUGUUUUCUUUUUACCUUACAAAAUACUUAUAAAGUACUUUUUCUGACUACUAAUCUUCUAAUGUGGGAUUGCUUUUUUCCACCACAUUCCACAUGAAUGCAUAGGUAACUUUGAGCUCAAUUUGUCAUUAACCCAUAAAUGGUUUUGAGUAUGUAAAUUUCUUAUCCACCAAUACCUACUCGUGCAGACGUUAUUGGUUAUCAUUUGGAGAAAGGUGUCCAACCUAUUGAUUGUUGUAAUUUAGAUUGUCCCAAUUCUAAUAGUUGUGGUUUUAAGGCCUAGAAUUGUUUCGUUGAUUCUCAUCUUAACCCUUCUCUUUAUUCAAUGACUUCCCUUGAAAGUAUUAUUUGAUGAUCUCCUAUCAGGGGGUUGGUCUCUUUCUUAUCUUCUCUUCUUUUUAAAUAGUCCAUUACCUUAUCAUGCAAUUCUUUAAAUGAGAUAGCAGUAUCACAAGCUCUCACAACAACAGUGGUCUCUUUGUAUUUUGAACCUAAUUCAUUGAGAGUGUAAACCACCAGAUCAUCAUUGUGCAAGAGUGAACUAAUAAUAGUAAGUUCAUCAACAAUACUUUCGAAGAUUUGGAUGUAUUCACUAAUAGUUUUUUGUUCUUUGAUCGUUUUUAUAGCCUUUCCCAUGAGGUUAGGAUGCAUGACCUUGAGUAAUUGGCAUUAAGUUUUUUUGGGUGAGACCAUGACUCUAAUGCCUUAGUAGCACAAACCACAAAACAAAAAUAGACUCCAAACUACAAUCUAACAUGAGAUGAAAUAACAAAUUAUUUUAAGGUUAAUUUUGUUGACUUUCCAUGAGGUUUUGACUAAAUAUAUUUAGUUCAUAUUAGUUUGAAAUUUCAUCAAAUACCUCCUCUACCCUUCUCACAAAUUAUUUCACUUACCUGUCUUCUAACUCAAAAUAAAGGAAGUAUUUGACGAUAUUUUAAAUUUAUAAAAACUAGGUAUAUUUAACCAAAACUUGAGGGAAAGUAAGUGAAAUUAACCUAAUUAUCUUACUUUUAAUAUAGCCAAUAUUCCAUAUCUCGUAUUGGUACUUUCCUUCUCCUUUCAAAUUGUUGUAGAAGGGCAAAGAUAUGACCGUUGUUACAUGUGCUAAAUCAUAGUAGUAUAUAAAGAAGCAUGCGGAACUAAACUCUUCACAAUGGAAAGUUUUUAAUCGUAGUUACAUCACUACAUCAAUCAACUCUGUGGUGCUAAUUUGGUAAAAUGUCAAAAGACUUUGACCCAUUAAAGGUAAAAAAGAAUAAAAAUAAAAAUUUGUUGUAGCAAUGGAUACUCUAAAACCAUAAAUACAAAGAAUUUAUAUAACCUAUCACUCGUAUUAUUUUACAUUGUAUAAGUUUACAAUAGAAAUGAUCGACUAAAUAUACAUUGGUAAUAUUAUAGCUUAGGGUCAAAUGUCAUGCGUUAUGAAUGUAAAGAAAAAUUGAACUUGAUGAUUUGGUUGAGCCUUUAUUUGCCAUUAAUAUAUGCCUUUAUGGACUGUCCACUGUAAAUUCCUUUCACUCCUCUCAUUGAAGAAUGAAACUCCACACUUUAUUCAAGUUUAAAAUGUUUUCUUGCAUAUUAAGGAGGAAAUUAAAAAAUAAAUAAAUAAAUAAAGGAAAGGAAAAUGAUCCGUUAAAAAACUAUAUUAUGAAUGUUAGAUAUCUUAAAAAACAAAAAAAUAUAUAUUUGUAGACCCCAUUUUGGGGAGCUGUCAUUUUUCUCACGUUUCCUUUCUUGCAGCUAGCUGUGGCCAAGUGUCACCAUCUUGCAUGGCCACGUGUCACUCCCGGAUUAGUCAAUAUGGGAUCAAAAUAGUGGAAUUGAUGGACCCAUCAGAGGAAGACACCUGGAAAGUGAAGAACAUUCUGGAAUCAGGGGAGCGUAUCUUCUGUUAUGGGAAGGUUGCCAGCUGCAGGAGUAGAGGAGUGGAGGCUGGUUGCUGCAGAGAGAGUGGAGGCUGGCAGAGGAGUGGAGGAGAGGUUUUGCUUUUGAAAAGGCCGUUAGAGAUAUUUUUAGGAUGAGGCAGCGGCAUUGAAGGGGAGAGUUUGGAGAGAUUCUUGAGGAGCAAGCUAGAUAUUGAAAAGAGAGAACGAGACAGAGAGAGCUGCAUUGAGAGGGAGGGAUUUCUUUUAAGCUGAGGCUGGUUGCUGCAGAGAGAGUGGAGGCUGGCAGAGGAGUUUUGGAGAGAAAGAGAAGGGUUUUUGGAGAGAAAGAGAAGGGGUUUUGGAGAGAAAGAGAAGGGUUUUUGGAGAGAAAGAGAAGGAGUUUUGGAGGGAACAGAGAGCUAGAGGGGGAGGAAAAACACUAGGAAGAAAAACAGAGAAAUCAGAAGAGACGGUUUUGGGUAGAGGAGGUUAUCAAGAACCAGAAGAAAAGGGCCUCCAGGUUCUUUUUGAGGGGUAAGUUUUCCACUGUGUUCUUGUUCUUUCUUUUUCUCUUCAUAUAUUGUUGUUGAGAUGCAUUGUUGUUGAUCUUUGGAUGGGUUAUACUCUGUUCUUCAUGGUUGACUGCUCCCCUUUUGCUUCUGUUUAUGGCUGAAAAUUGAUUUAAAUCCAUUUUUACCUUCUUUGUGGCAUUUUAAAGAAAGAAAAAGACCUUUUAAUUCACCCAUCUGCAAACCCACUAAUGAAGAGGUGAAGCAUAGUUCUUCAUGCUUCAUCUCAUUUUUCUUCCUCCAUGGCUCUGUUUUUGCUACUUUUCUCUCUGCUCUUCGUGUUUGGACUUUCUUGGAUAUGAAGCCGUAAUGGGGAGUGAGGCUAUGGGAUGACGAGACAGUGAGGGAUUUGGACUCCUUGAAUCCGUUUAUCCUGUAAAGGCUACUAAGGGCUUGGUAGAUCAAUGUUUGAGCAUAUGAACAGAGAGUGGUCUACACCGGGGAUACCAUUAUUGCCAGUGAUCCGUGUGGCAGAGGUUAGUGGGCUGUAGAGAGGGGAUCCUUUCUGACGGAGCAAAGGAACAAGAGAUGAAUUCAUGGGUUUUCUGAAUUGUUUUCACUAAGAAGGAGUUCACCCAGUACUCUUAGGCCUAAGAAGCUCGGCAUUUCUUUGCAAACAUAAGAAGCACAGGCUGGAACUAUGGAGGCCAUAGGUUUUACAUGGUAAAAAAGUGGGUUGACUGAGGAAUUGAGAAAGAAAUAAAGCAAGCAAAGCCGUCAUCGAAUGACGCCGGCGGCGAAGCGCCUCCACUUUGACUACGUCGUGCCCUCAGUUAUCGACUCUAACCACCGCUUCUCUAGUCUACGCGUGUCGCCGGAAGACUUGACGCUGAUCGUUUCUCUGCCUCUCUUUAUUUUCGGCUCUGUCAGGGGUCGAAACUCAUCCUCCGCUGGCGAUUGCGACGAGUGUCUCUCCUAGCUUAAGCCUCACGAUCAGCUUCGGCUGUUCCUGAUCUGCCGUCACGCUUCCCAUGCUCUAUACAUCAACACGCUGCUGGCAUCCAGUCAGGCAUGUCCUUGUAUCGUGUUCCGCAGGGAAUUCUGGGCCUGAUCUGCUCACUGUGGUGAGUGUCGCGCCAUGGAUUUUAACUGAUGGUGUCCCGACGAUUGACAAGAAGUUUUCCGGUGGAUGUGGUUCUUGGCGACGGAAGAAUCUUCGGUGGUGUGUCUAUGUACUUCGGCGAUCCUCUAAAGGACACUAAUCUCCCCAUUAGUUUACGCUGGUGACUGUGGAAGCAGAUUCCGCUUCAUCGGAAAACCCAAUCCUUCUCAAGUGCCUGGAAAAGCAGUCAUUUGUGAUCGGAACUUCACCUCGGCGCCCAAAGUCGCAGCGUUCUCCAACUGGUUUAGACAUCGACGAGAGACAAGUUGAUUUUAAUAUAAUUUCUGGCACGUCCAUUGCAUGUCCGUACGUGAGUGGAAAUAGCGACUGUGGCAGUGUACCCAAACGGCUUCACCACUCUCAAGCAUGAUGCUCUGAGAGUUGAAUUGAAAUGGAGGGGCGUUCUCAUAUUGCAAUUGUUGUUCCUAGAACUGAUGAGUCAAUCAGUAAAUUGGUUCAGCAACCUCAGAAGUUAAUAGAUCUCCGUGAGGUUCGCGAUAUUACUCAUAUGCCAUUUGCAGAAAGAGAUGACUGAAGGGAAACGGGUUCCUCUGAAUAUUACUAAAUUUGAUUAUGAAUGUUUGAGAAAGACCGCUGACAGUCAAGCAUAUUAAGGGGAUCCAUAUAAAGAAUUGUGGGUGUCCUUUGUUGACCGAGUUGGUCUUAGUCACAGAUAUCCUCAUCCAUGGCUGCUGAUAUAUCUCCUAAUUCUUCUUGAUGCUGCGGAAGAUAUUGUUGAAAUAGGAAAAACUGGGUGGAGAGAUCAAUUGUUACUCUGAUUUGAUUUUGGAUUGAAAAGGGAUGGGUUCAUUCAUGGAGCAUGUUCUGCCAGGAACGCUGUUUCUAGCAGUGAGUUUGUGGCACAUAUGCAGCGCAGUGGUGAGAUUUGUGAUGAACCCAAAGGGGUUUCAGGUUCGGGUUUUGAACCCAGUGUCUGGUUUUGAUGGAAGGCUUAGAUACUUGGAGCUUUAUGUGGUGGCAAUCGGAGCUUUUAUUGAUAUGUGCAUAGAGUUUUUGUAUUCAACUCAUCUCAAGUUCUUUGUGAAUGGGGUCUUGAACCCAUCUCACACGAAUGACUUUGAGCACUCUGGGAUGCUUCUCAUGUUCUUUAUUUUCGGGGUCGUCGCCUUGUUCUCCCAGCAAACCGGGCUUGUUCAAAACUGAAUAACCAAUGCUCAAUAGCCUUCACAUAGCUCCAUUCUGCCCUCACAUACUUCCAGCGCGUGACUUGUUUGAAUGAGAGCGACUUUUAUUGCCAAACAGUUACUUGGGGAACCGGUGACGUUACUCCUAUUGCAGGAUUGCUUGGCAAAUCUCAAUUCCAGAUUCACUUAGGAGGGAUCCUUGGCUGCUAAUUGGAAGGCUUCAAGACAGAAGGAAGCGAAGAGUGAUGAUACCAGGGAAGUGACUCAAUUAUCUACUCUACACUUGCCCGCUCAUGGCCCCAAAAUCUCAGAAGUGGUCAAGAAGUUGGAAGACUGCAUGUUCUGAAAUUGACCUAGCCUUUCAAAUCGGGUUCCCUACAUUGAAAUAAGAAGCAGUAGCAUGAGUUAUCCUCCAGAAUGGCUCUAUUCUCUGCAUGGUGCAUGGCCACCUUUGGGCCACAGUGCCAUUUCCCAUUUCACCAUCUCUAAUUUUGAAAAAUAUUCUUUUAAAUCCCAUUCUUCAAAUAAUUUUCUAGAUUUUAGUUUGUUUUAAAAUAAUUUCAAACUCGUCCACUUUUCAUCUUUAGUUUCUUUUUCUUAGAUUCCAAAAAUCCAUUUUUCCAAUAAAAUUUUGCUACCACUUUUCUUCCUAGCAAGCCAUUUUCAUAUCUCUUCUGUUUUUUUUAAAUUGUUUUGAAAUAAGCAAGAAUUAAUUCCGUAAUUCCGAAUAAUGGAAUUUAUGGAAUUAAUUCAUGCUAAGAUAAAUGGGCUUUGGUGGGGGCCCAACAUAUGAGAUUUUAUGAUUGAUUGACUGAUUGAUUGAUUCAUUAGCUAUAUGUGAUUGAUUUAUUCUGUUCCUUGGUAUACACAUUAUCCUUCUGUGUUUGUUCACUAACCCUGUUUCUGAUAGCACGUUACGGCUCGUGGCCCCGGUACGCACUCUCUAUACCUAUUCUGUUUCUCAUAUGUGCAUAAUUGAUUCGAGUAUUCAUUGCUUUCCUCAUCAAUUGCCACAUCAGCUUCAUUUUAUUAGUAGAGACCCGAUUUUAGGGACUUAGAGGGGUGCUAUGGUCUUUACCGUACCUUCCCGAUAAGUAACCUGACCCCCGAACCCGAUCCGGUUUUUCGUAGAUCACCUUUUCCAAAUAAGGAGUCACACUUAGGGUUUUUCUUUCUUAUUUUGUUUACCCUUUUAAAAAUAAAACAAAAAUACAGCUAAAAUCGAGCUCGCCAUUGAGUGGGAAACGCAUUGAGAUAGAUCGAAAUGCGGGGUCCACAACGCGUUCUUUUAUUCUCUUUAGUUUUAUAAAAAAGAUGGUAAAAAUGUAGUGAUCUUCUUUUAGUUUCUGUUUUAUAAGUGAGAGGGGACUAAGAUAGUAUUUAUUUUUUGACUGAAUAUAAAAAAUCAAAAUAUAUACAAAUUUACUUUAAUUAUAUUGGACGAUGUUAAUAGGUUACUUUUAGCUAAAUAAAAAAAAAAUCAAAACCUUAGAAAAAUAUUUUAAGUUUUAUUUACUCAAAUCAAUGUUUCCAAAAAUAUCCUUAUUGUCAAAACUGACUUAAAUGAAAAAUAAAUAAAAAAAUAUAAGCAAAAAACAAUUUAAUAGUUUUUAAAAAUAUUAUUAAAUCAUCAUUUGGUUCCCUUUUAUUCUGUCACUUUAAUUCUUUAAAACUAAAUUUAAUUCUUUUAUAACAAUAGAACAUAGGGGCCUAAGGUUGGAAAAUGACAAUUUACCCUAUUUGAAAAAAGAAAAAUUAUAUAUUCAUUUCUAGCCAAAAACAACUUUAUAUGUAAUUGUCAUUUUUUAUCAACCCCCACCGCUGAUGCAAAAGCCUUAACCUUGAAUGGAAUUUUAAUUUCAAAGACAUUUAGCACAUAGGAUAAAAAUUGUGCAUUUCAAUGAUCAAAGCUUCAUAUCUUAAAAGGUAGGUAAAUUUUAAAAUUCAACUAAGUUAUGUCUUCAAAAGACAAUAUUUAAUUGGAUUCUUUCGAGGUGUCAUAGAAUUAGAAAUAUUUUUUGAAUUAUUAUAUUUUAAAAAAUAUAUUUUUUUAAAUUGCCUUACUUUGUUCAAAAUGCCAAGAAGCAGGCAUAGGAACUAUAACAAAGCUCCAUCUCUAUUAGGGUACCAGAGAGGAUGAAUUGAAAAGGCUAGGAAAAUCUAAUUCCAGAAACUUCUACUUGCAUAAGAUACAGAGUGACUACAGAAUAUGCUCAAUGGCAUAGACAAGGAGGCCACACAUGCUUGCUUAUUUAGAUGGUGCAACAUGACAAUGAAAACUAGCAGGACCAGAAAUUACCUCUCACACAAACUGGUCAAGGUACUCAUCCACAGUUGUGUAUUUGACAUCGGGAUAUAGCUCUGAAGCCUCCACUCCAAAU